rnacentral:tRNA from 1 species
UCCCUGGUGGCUCAGACGGUAAAGCGUCUGCCUGCAAUGCAGGAGACCGCGGUUCGAUCCCUGGGUGGGGAA